rnacentral:misc_RNA from 1 species
GUGGAAAACUAAUUUUAGGGAAUUUUUGUUUAUUUAAUUAUAAAAUUCAUUUUUUUGGCAAAUUUUUUAUUUUGGCAAUUUAGGGCUUGUAAGAAUGCAGCAAUACUUGGUGGUUUGAGUUGAAUUUAGGUCUGAAAGGGUCCUAUGAACAGUACAUGUGCUACUGUAGCAGCAGGCCAAAAGAGGAUGAGCAGCAGAGGAGGGGAAGACGAGAAAACUAGGCAGACUGGCCUUUCAAACCAAAUCAAAAUUCUCAAAAUUCAAUUAUGAAAGCAUAAGCCUAAAAAAUAGGUAGUUACACAAGUAUUUAUAGAGGCUGCAAUAAAUAUUGCUUCUCCUAGGAUUAGGAAUCCCAAUCUAGGAAUAUCUUAACCCAAUACUUAAUGGGAACCCAACUUUUUAAUUUUUAAUAAGAAAUCCCUAAUGAAAAAUUUUAAAAAAUCCUAAAUAGUACUAAAACCCUACAUUUCUGUCUUAGAUCUGCAUUUUCCCUUCUUGUGAAGUGUUGAAAGUUGAAACUGCUGUAUUGCUUUUGGCACUAUCUUUUCUAUAUGAGUAAGUUCUGCAAUCUUUCUAGGGGUUUCUAAAAAUUUCUUGCAUACUUGUUCUCAAAACUCACAUCAGUGCAUGAUUUUAUGGCGUAGGAAUCAUAAA